GUAUCUGGUCACCCUAUCCCGAAGGUGCUCAAUCUCACCUAAUCUUAGAAACUGAGCAGGAUUAGGGCUGUCGGUUCCUGAAUGGGACACUCCCUAGGAUUGCAGGGCAAUGUAGGCU
rnacentral:rRNA from 1 species